CCCUGACCCACUUUUCGUGGUGUCCCCUUCCCCGGGGUCGCCGACCCACCCCAGGUGGAAGUGCUAACCCUGAGGGCUGUACCGCGCGCGGCGUGGGAGGCCGCCCGCUCCCCACCCUAAGCCGCGACCCCGGGGGCGCUGGGCGUGCGGGGACUCCGGGGCGGCCCGUGCCCGAGCACCCUCGCGCGGGCUCCCGGGUCGCCCCGAACCUCGGGCGUGUGCAAGGACCCCCCCGGGUCACCGCCUGGACGGCUGGCGCCUCAGCCCCCCGGCGGAAGGGAAAGGAGAUUGAGGAGGGGAAGAAGCAGUAAACAGCUCCAGCGUCCGGGCCUCGCCUCAGAGAGAGCCCCGCUCCCCAGGCCCUGCGGCCGGCCGUCGGGACCCCCCGCUGUCUCCGGGGCCGCGCUGUCCCGGACCCGGAGCACCCGAGGGGAGUCCAGGCCACUCCCCGGAUGGCUCUGGAGGCUCCCGAAGCGACCCGGGCAGCGGAGAACGGGGAAGUCAGGACUUACCUGUCAUUACUUUCUACGCCAUCUUGGAUCCACUUGUCAACGUCCCCACAAAGCAUUAUGGUUUACUCAGCCUCGCGCCGUCUCCUCUCGCCGGGUAAUGUGAUCCGCGACCCUCUCGGUCGGAGGACCCCUCCCCCUAGGAAUGUAGCUUUCGGCUCCGUAAGAUCUACCGGAUAGAGUCCAAACUGCGGACUGUGACUUCCCCCGCAGGGCGGCGACCCCAGGCGGCGGGACAACGUAGAAGGCAGGCGCCACGCUGGCUCGGGGCAGAGAGGAGGGGGAUGUCCAGAGUGGCUCGGAGGCGACUAGGGCGCAGGAAGUAGGAGGCGACCGUGCGCCCGCUACAGACCUCUGCGAGCAUCCCGCGGGCAUCUGCUUUCUCGCUGCAAGACCGACACGCCGCGCGCUCUCUGCCCCUCCCUUUUGCUUCGGGCGUGCGGACACCUGGCCCAGGUGACUACCACACACACACACACACACACACACGCACGCACGCACGCACACACGCACACACGCCUUGCUCACUGAAGUACCUGCUUCUUGCAGCCCUUGUCCUGUCAGAAACGGAGGUCUGUUGAUUUACUCCCCAACCCCCACCCUGUACGUUCUCUUCCCAAAGCCUCCAGUGUCAGCAUUUCUGAGUUUGGGACUUCUGCCUACCCCGAACAAUAUUUGGUGUACUGUACAAAAGAAAAUCCUCCAAGACUCUCCGGGUCGAUCUUGUGCUUAGCUUUUACGAGGUUUUACUCCCCAGCGGUUGGAGGGAUGAGGGUGUUAUUCCCCAGCACACUAAAACGUGCUAACAAAAUGCUGCUAAAAAGCCUCUCCAAAUUCGAAGAAAUUGUGGGCACAGGCAUUGGCACGUACACACCCUCUUUUUGGUGCAAGGGGAGGGUCUUCCGUCUGCCCUUUAUAGGCAUCUCCACCAGAGGUGUCUGGAGCUACCUGGGUGGUUGCUGACUUACCUCUGCCCCUAGGGAGCCAAAAGCUCCACCAGUCUAUUGUCCCAGCCUGAAGAGAAGGGUGAGGUGUAGCCUCAUUAAGUGAUUGGCCCCGGGGUCACUCUUGAGGGAGGGAGCAGGUGAGUCAUUCCCAGCGGACUAGGAAGAGGCUGUCAGGGGAGGAACCUCCCCUGAGUCACUUUUCAGAGCUUCUGCGAAUCUCCAAUGGUGUUGGGAACUGGAACCUAGAGUUCCGGACACCUCUAGGGUGGUCGAAGGCGCCUCCCCAACCGGCCCCUCUGCUCUUCCUGCAAGUGAAGGCCCCUAAGUCCUGUUUCCAGGGUACCCCAGUUGCUGCCCCUCCAGUUCCUGCUUUUCUUUCAGCCACUAGGAUGCACUAAUGGAAUGAUUGGCAACUUUAAGUGGGCGAUCUGAGCUUCCUUGUAAGUAAGUAAUCAACCGAAGAGCCAGAGCUGUGCCUGCCAAACUGCCUUUGGUAGGUAGUCUUUCUUUGCUUUAGAAAGGCUUUGGCCCGAAGACAGACUCCAUUGAUGUCACUGCCUCGAGUGAGUGUCCUGGCAGGUUCUUGUCCCGGAUGCCACCUGUUAUCUGGGCUAAGAGAACCUCCUAACUGCCCGUGCUCCCAGACUGCCCCUUAUAGUAUGCCGUCCAUGUGACCAGUGUUUGUGAAAUGCAAAUUAUGUGACUCCCCCUAAGCCUUCCUCAUCAUACGUGAGAUGAGCCUUAAGUUCCCAGCCACUGCCUGCGAGCUCAGUGAGAUUGCCCACCUCCCCUUCCCCCAUCAUGAGGCCAGAGUGACCUUCCUCUUCCCUACAUCACCCCAAACUUCCUUCCCCUGAGAAAAACUAGUUCUCUCUGUCAGUCAUCAUCUUAUCAUUCAGGUCACUGUGCCUGUCACUCCUCCAAGAGGACCUUUGUGAUCCCCUUAAAUAAAACAGGUCACUCCACUCUA